rnacentral:rRNA from 1 species
AUAACCUGCCUCAAGGCUGGGGAUAACAUUUGGAAACAGAUGCUAAUACCGAAUAAAACUUAGUAUCGCAUGAUAUCAAGUUAAAAGGCGCUACGGCGUCACCUAGAGAUGGAUCCGCGGUGCAUUAGUUAGUUGGUGGGGUAAAGGCUUACCAAGACGAUGAUGCAUAGCCGAGUUGAGAGACUGAUCGGCCACAUUGGGACUGAGACACGGCCCAAACUCCUACGGGAGGCUGCAGUAGGGAAUCUUCCACAAUGGGCGCAAGCCUGAUGGAGCAACGCCGCGUGUGUGAUGAAGGCUUUCGGGUCGUAAAGCACUGUUGUAUGGGAAGAAAUGCUAAAAUAGGGAAUGAUUUUAGUUUGACGGUACCAUACCAGAAAGGGACGGCUAAAUACGUGCCAGCAGCCGCGGUAAUACGUAUGUCCCGAGCGUUAUCCGGAUUUAUUGGGCGUAAAGCGAGCGCAGACGGUUGAUUAAGUCUGAUGUGAAAGCCCGGAGCUCAACUCCGGAAUGGCAUUGGAAACUGGUUAACUUGAGUGUUGUAGAGGUAAGUGGAACUCCAUGUGUAGCGGUGGAAUGCGUAGAUAUAUGGAAGAACACCAGUGGCGAAGGCGGCUUACUGGACAACAACUGACGUUGAGGCUCGAAAGUGUGGGUAGCAAACAGGAUUAGAUACCCUGGUAGUCCACACCGUAAACGAUGAAUACUAGGUGUUAGGAGGUUUCCGCCUCUUAGUGCCGAAGCUAACGCAUUAAGUAUUCCGCCUGGGGAGUACGACCGCAAGGUUGAAACUCAAAGGAAUUGACGGGGACCCGCACAAGCGGUGGAGCAUGUGGUUUAAUUCGAAGCAACGCGAAGAACCUUACCAGGUCUUGACAUCCUUUGAAGCUUUUAGAGAUAGAAGUGUUCUCUUCGGAGACAAAGUGACAGGUGGUGCAUGGUCGUCGUCAGCUCGUGUCGUGAGAUGUUGGGUUAAGUCCCGCAACGAGCGCAACCCUUAUUGUUAGUUGCCAGCAUUCAGUUGGGCACUCUAGCGAGACUGCCGGUGACAAACCGGAGGAAGGCGGGGACGACGUCAGAUCAUCAUGCCCCUUAUGACCUGGGCUACACACGUGCUACAAUGGCGUAUACAACGAGUUGCCAACCUGCGAAGGUGAGCUAAUCUCUUAAAGUACGUCUCAGUUCGGACUGCAGUCUGCAACUCGACUGCACGAAGUCGGAAUCGCUAGUAAUCGCGGAUCAGCACGCCGCGGUGAAUACGUUCCCGGGUCUUGUACACACCGCCCGUCACACCAUGGGAGUUUGUAAUGCCCAAAG